UUCCAGACUCCUACGGGAGGCAGCAGUGAGGAAUAUUGGUCAAUGGGCGCGAGCCUGAACCAGCCAAGUCGCGUGAGGGAAGACGGUCCUAUGGAUUGUAAACCUCUUUUGUCAGGGAGCAAAGGGCGCCACGUGUGGCGUUUUGCGAGUACCUGAAGAAAAAGCAUCGGCUAACUCCGUGCCAGCAGCCGCGGUAAUACGGAGGAUGCGAGCGUUAUCCGGAUUUAUUGGGUUUAAAGGGUGCGCAGGCGGAAUGUCAGGUCAGCGGUAAAAUUUCGGGGCUCAACCCCGUCGUGCCGUUGAAACUGGCGUUCUUGAGUGAGCGAGAAGUAUGCGGAAUGCGCGGUGUAGCGGUGAAAUGCAUAGAUAUCGCGCAGAACUCCGAUUGCGAAGGCAGCAUGCCGGCUCCACACUGACGCUGAGGCACGAAAGCGUGGGUAUCGAACAGGAUUAGAUACCCUUGUA
rnacentral:rRNA from 1 species